GCUCCUAUCAAUGAUCUCUCCAACAGAGAUGUAACAUUGAAGAAUAAUGAUCAAUCCUCUCCUUACAAAGGUACUUUGUUGCAAGAGAGACAAGGAAGCAGUAAUCUAUGGCUUUGAGAUAAAUAUGUCGAGGAGAAAAGAAGAUUUCUUACCUGGGGCUGGCAAACUCGAAGAGCUUUCCGGUGGGUGAGAAAAUGCUUUAGCAUCGCAGAGAAGUGAGAGUUCGUUGGCCUUCUUCAACAGUCCCAUUUUGCCCUUGGCAAAAGUCAGCCAAUGAUUUAAAGGGUUUUGUAUCCUCUUUAGCUGAAACUUUUUCUCCGCCAUUUUAUUCUAUUUGCAAAAUGGAAAAAGAUCUCAAGAUAUAAAAGCCUCGCACCUCAAACCUUUAUAUAUAUUCUGUGUCACUAAUUUUCUGUUUCUUUUAUGUGAUGGUACUAAUUGCUCUUAUUAUGUCUUGAUCAGGGACAUCAUUUACUUGGCUUUCAUGUCGGAAUGAAGCAGACUAAUUGAAAGAUUAUAAUAGUUUAAAAAACACUCACAAAAUACAUAUUAUCAACUCAGAAGAAGACUGAAUAUUAUUCAUAUAGAAAACUUAAUUAAAAUUGCAAUAACGAUGAUUACAUUUGUAGACUUCUAAAGUCUAUCAAACAAGAAUAGAAAUUAAAAAUUAAUAACAAUUUUUCACUGCCUAGACAAGCAGUUUCUAAAAAUUAAAAAACUAGAUUAAUAUUUAUCUUAGCAGUUUCCAAACUACUAUUUUAUUAACAAAACAAAAACACAUUUUCAGUAGUUUCCAUCACAACCUUGAUUUCCAACAUAACAAUCUCCAGCACAUCAUUCUAAUCUUGAGCAUAUCAAACUUAUCUUCAAUCCAACUGAUGUCUAAACGCAAUAAAACUAGACAUAGGAAGAGCAUUGAUGAAGAUAUCCACUACUUGUUCAAGUGAAGGACAAAACUGUAACUCCACUUGCCCAUCUUGAAACAAGUCAUGAAUGUAAUGAUGUUUGAUCUCUAUGUGCUUUAUCCUAGUAUGAAACACAAGAUUCUUUAUCAUGGAAAUAGUGUUGUCGUUAUCACAAUAGAUAGUGGUUGGAUAUUGCUAAACCAAAUGUAGAUAUGUCAAUCUUCGUUUGAUCCAAACUGCUUGAGAAUUUAUUGAGGCGGCUGCAAUGUAUUCUACAUUUGCUAAAGAAAGAGUCACAAUUCCCUGUUUCUUACUAGGACUGUAGACACCUAAAAUUAUUUUAUCUUAAGUCUUCUAUUAAUUAGGUAAUUUUCUAUUUAUUUAAUUAAUUUAUUUACCCUUUUUCUAGCCUUUUUCUAGCCUUUCUCUAUUUAAAUUAAUAUUUUUAUUUAUUUAAAUUAUCCUUUCCCUAAAUUAAAUAAAUAUUUAAUUGGUCCCAAUUCAUUAGCUUUUUCACUCUAUGACAUGUGAUUUAUUUCUUAAUUUUCCUCUACCUACCCUUUCAUUAUUUUAUUAUUUUUCUUAACUAUCCUCUUAUUAUUUUAUCGUUUUCUACCCAACCUUUAAUUCUAGCCGACCCUUUAUUCUUUUCACCUCUUAAUCUUAUCCCUUCAUUUUCUAAGGUCUUCUCUAUAUAAGAGGAUUCCCUCAUUCUUCUCAAUCCUAAUAAACAAUCAUGCAAUCUGGCAAUUUAGCAUUGAAGCGUACGUUUUUGUAUUCUAGCAUUUUUAUUUUGCAUCCAUCAUAUUUCAAAUCUUAAUUCACCAUAGCUUCUUGUGCGUGUGCUUUUGAGAGCAUCAUUUUUUGAGCACAAGAUCUUGGUUGAUAGAAGUGCAAUGGAAUAGUUUAUAGCAUGCAUGUAUAUUAUUAGCUUAGAUUUUGGUUUUCAAUGUGUGCAUUUUCGAAGUACUCUAUUGAGGAUGUUGAAAUAAAUCUGGAUCUUGCUCCAUAAGAUUUCAAAGAUAUUCCAUCCACAACUCCAAGAGACAACUCUAGAACCAAGUUGAAAAACAUAGUUAGAUGUAGAUUUUUUAUCAUCCACUAAACCAGCCCAAUCAAAAUUUGUGUAACCAAUUAGCUCAAACUUUUCAGUGGGAGUAUAAUGAAUGCAAAAUUUUGUGUACCACUCACAUACCUCAUAAUUCUUUUAGCAACUUGCUAACGAGUCUCAUGUGGAUCUUACAUGAACCGAGAGAUGAGCCUCAUACCGUACAUAACAUUAGGUGUACUAGUUGUGAGAUACAUCAGGCUACCAAUCAAACUUUUAUACAAAGUAGCAUUAACCUUGGGACUUCCAUCUUCCUUGGUUAAUCUUCCAUCAGCUACAUACUUGGUUUGGUAAAUAUAUAUACCAUUUGAUGUUUGGUGUACUUUCACAACAAGAAAAUAGUGCAUGAGUCCCAAAUUUGACAUUUCAAAUUCUUAUUUCAUUUCUACUUAAAACUUCUCCAUGAGAAGCUUUGUUGUUACCUGUAUAAAUAAGAUCAUCAACAUAAAGGCAAACUAUGAGAAUAUUAUUACCAAUAUGUUGGACAUACAAGGUAGGCUUUGAGUGGCUUCUAUUGAAUCCCUUCUUCAUAAAAUAACUAUCAAUCCUAGUAUACCAAGCACAAGGAGCUUGCUUCAACCCAUAAAGGGUUUUCUUCAACUUGUAGACUGUGUGUUUUUUUCCUAGAACUUCAUAACCCAUUGGUCGUUCCACACAAACUUCCUUAUCUAGAUAACCAUUCAAGAAUGCUAAUUUCACAUCCAUCUGAAAUAUUGGCCACUUGUAUUGUGUUGCAAUAGCCAAUAUAGUCUUGACGGUAUCAAAGUCUAGCCACUCCAGGAGUUUUUGCAAACCCUUUGGCAACUAGUCUUGUCUUAUAUCUUUCCAUUGAACCAUCUACAUGAUAUUUGAUUUUAUAUAUCUAUUUCAUACCAAUCACUUGCUUACCUUUGGGAAGUUGCACUGAUUCCCAAGUAUUACUUUUAUGAAUGGAAUUCAUCUCAUCAUUCAUAGCAUUAACCCAUAUUGGUUUUUUGAUGUUUCUUCAUACACAAAAGGUUCAACUUGAAUUAUACUAAGAAAAGAAAAAUUAACAACUGAAUUUAUAUUUAGAAUCUUUUGAUAAAUAUGAACCAAACUUCGUACCUUUCUUUGAGUUGAUGUUGGAGGUGAAGCUAGAGGUGAAACUUCACUUGAAUUUGUUCUAUUAGAAGAACUAGGUGAACGUGGACUACAACUAGAGCUUGAACUUCCACUUGAGCUCGUAGGGAGAAGAGAAACACCAUUAUCUCAAAGAGAUCAGAUUUAUCUGUCAUGCGAUUUGAACAACCACUGUCUAAGAACUAGACAUCCUCUUGGUUUUCUUUUGCCAAAUUACACGUGAAGAAUGUAGAAUGCUUUUCUUCAAAAGACUCUUCUGUAAAAUUUGCUCUUGACUUAUUCAAGUCAAAUUUCUUCUUUUUGCACUUAGAUUCACAGUGCGCAUGUCUUUCACAAUAUUUACAUUAGAUACUCCUUUGAUCCAUAGAAAUUUUUCCUCUUCCUCUAUUAUUUCCUCUAACUCUUCCUCUGUUAUUACUAGAAGAUUGACCUUUGUUAUUUUUAGUACUUUCAGAUUGAAUAAAACUCAGAAAAUAAGAAUUAGUUUAGACUAGGUUAAUUAAUUUAUUGUUUUCCAGACUUAGGCAUAAUAAAGGAAAUGAAAUGCACAAGGACAAAGCACAGUUACCUUGGGAAAACCUCCUAGGAGGAAAAACCCAACCAAAGGAUCCUCAGAUCUGAUUAUGAUUUUGAAUUCAACUGAACAUUAUACACUUAUCUGGAGUAUAGAGGUUGCAGUCACAAGGAGAAGAUAUAGAAGCCUUCACAAUAUGUUUGCUAACGAAGAUUAUGAUUUGCAGUCCUCCUCAUCGGAUUUUUCUGUGUGUAGCAAGGGUAGCAACACCUUUCAAGUAGCUCAUAGUCCUUCAAUGGAGUUCUCUAUAUUCUGGAGAUGGUCUGCUGCCUUUUAUGAAGUUCGCUGUCUUCAAUUAGAGAUCUGCUGUUGUCUAAUGAAGUUCGCUGUUUCCUAUUAGAGAUUUGCUGCCAUCUGGUGAAGUUCGCUGUCUCCUAUUUAGAGAUCUGCUGCUAUCUAAUGAAGUUCGCUAUCUCCUAUUUGCCUUACUAUGACUUUCGCUUUCGUCGAAUAUAUUUUGCAUUACAUGAAAACUGAAUGAUGAUAAUGAGAAGUAUAUGAUACAUUUAUAGGAGUCAUAUUACUCCUUAAUUAUGUCGGUCUUCUUUGCAAUUGAACAUUUUAUUUAUUUUAAUUCCUUUUAAGUGAAUUGAAAUAGGAUCGGCCCUAUCAAGGAGGCGAGUUGGGUUUGGGUGAAGCGUGGAAGCCUUUUAGGUGAGCCGAGAGGUAUUGGGCCUGGCCCUAUAUGAUGGAGGCGGAUUCCAAUGUUGCCCAAGGCAAUUGGAAUCCGCCAGCCCUAAUUACCAACAACACUCCCUCUUAAUUAGGGAAUAGAAUCAUAAUCAUAAUCUUCCAGCUUGCACACAAGCAUAGACUGGAUCCACCUUGCAUUGCUCACAGAGGGUGGAGAGGAUCCUUUUCUACCAUCUUACAUUGCCCGCAGAGGAUGGUCAAAUGUUACAAUACCAUCUUACAUUGCCCGCAAAGGAUGGUUUAACAGCUACACUUCUCCCUGAGAAGUUUUACAAUACCAUCUUACAUUGCCCGCAAAGGAUGGUUAAUAAUUACACUUCUCCCUGAGAAGUUUACAAUACCACCUUACAUUGCCCGCAGAGGGUGGUUUACAUUUACAAUACCAUCUUACAUUGCCAGCAGAGGAUGGUUAAGAAUUAUACUUCUCCCUGAGAAGUUUACAAUACCACCUUACAUUGCCUAUAGAGAGUGGUUUUAUACAAUACAAAGUAUCACUGAAAUUGAGACUCCCUCUCAAUCGGAGUUUCAUUUUCCACAAUACCAAGUCUAUCCCUGAAGUACGCAAACUUCACUUUGGAUAGAGGCUUGGUAAGAAUAUCUGCAACCUGCUCAUCAGUGCUGACAUACUUCAGCUAAAUAGAACCUCUUUGCACCAUAUCCCGAAUAAAAUGAUAAUGGGUUUCCACAUGUUUUGACCUGUCAUGAAACAUUGGAUUGAUAGACAUUUUAAUACAACUCUGGUUAUCAUAGUGAAUAACUGUAGGAUCCCAUGGCUGAUCAAACAGCCUAGCAAGAAGCUUAUGAAGCCACACUGCUUCUCUGGACGCUACACUUGCUACAAUAUACCCAACUUCAACAGUACUCAAUGCCAUUGAGGAUUGUUUUCUGCAAGCCUAAGAGAUCACUGUAGAACCCAAGCUAAAACAAAUAUAAGAGGUGCUUUUCCUGUCUUUGACGCUUCCAGCCCAGUCUGCAUCAGAAUAACCUUCCAAGGUUAUUGGAGUGUUAAGUGGAUACUUCAGCCCAAAACCAACUGUGCCCCGCAAGUAUCUUAGGAUAUGCUUGGCUGCAACAAGGUGAACAUGCUUGGGCAAACUCAUGAAUUGGCUAAGAGCAUUUAUAGCAAAACAUAUGUCUGGUCUAGUGUUAACUAGAUACAUCAGUGAUCCAAUCAAUUAUCGGUACUUGGAUGGAUUUGCAAAUUUAGAGUUAGCUGUAGAAACAUUUAACUUCUUUAAGUUAGAUUCCAUAGGAAUAGACAUUGGUUUACAAUCCAUCAUUCUAAAUCUUUUCAAAAUGUCAAUAGCAUAUUUCCCUUGACUUAGAAAAAUUUCGUUAGAUCUUUGCCAUACUUCUUGACCUAGGAAAUAAUGCAUUAGACCUAAAUCUUUCAUUUCAAAUUCUGAAGCUAGUUCUUUCUUGCAUCUAAUAAUAAGUUCAUCUUUACUAGUAAGAAAUAAAUCAUCCACAUAAAGAACUAGAAUUAGCAUUUCAUCAUUGGCUACUUUAAAGUAAAUGUUAGGGUCAGCAUCAUUUUUACGAAAGCCUAGACUUAGCAAAUAUUUAUCAAUUCUUUCAUACCAAGCACGAGGAGCUUGUUUAAGACCAUACAGAGCUUUCUUUAACCUACACACAUGGGUUAAUCUAUCCUGAAUCUCAUAUCCCUCAGGUUGCUCAAUAUAGACUUCUUCCUCAAUGACACCAUUGAGAAAUGUAGUCUUAACAUCCAUCUGAUGUAGUUUUCAACAUUUAGCAGUAGCAAUAGCAAUUAUUGUUCUAAUGGAAGUAUAUCUAGCAACAGGAGCAAAUGUUUUUUCAUAGUCUAUGCCUUCUUUUUGGGAAAAGCCACGCGCUACAAAUCUAGCUUUAUAUUUUUCAAUACUACCAUCGACAUUAUGUUUAAUUUUAAAUAACCAUUUAGAGGAAACAACAGAUUUACCUUUGGGUCUGGGCACAAGGUCCCAUACAUCAUUCUUGAUGAUUAACUGAUAUUCUUCAUCCAUAGCAAGCUUCCAGGCAUGAUGACUUAAGGCUUCUUCAACAUUGCAAGGUUCAGUUUCAAUGAGAUUACACAUUAAAUAAACGUAGUUGGAAAAUACCUAAGGUCUCUUAGUUUCACGGAAGGUGCUACUUGGAGCAGCAAAUCUUUGAGUUUCUUGAAUGGUGUUUCUUACCCAAAGUAGCCUCUUUUUGGUAACGACAAUGUCACUAGGAAUAUCAGUGGGAUUCAUGGGUUCUGAAGGAUAAUCAUGAUCAUCUUGAGGUGGAGGUUCAACUUGCUCCCUCUGAAUCUCAGGGUUAGCAUCAACGUUUAUAUUUUGAUUAUCAUUAGAUUCAUCAAUAACACAAAAACCUUUCAAUUUCUUAAAAGCAAUGUCUUCUUCAAAUGUAACAUCCCUACUUACCUCAACGUACCUUUGACCUGGGAUGUAAAUCCUGAAAGCCUUGGAGGAUUCACUGUAUCCGACUAGCAUGCCUUUCUUUCCGGAGGGUUCCAACUUUGAUCGCUUUUCCUUGGGCACAUGAACAUAGAUGGGACUUCCAAAGAUUCUGAGGUGACUAAUGUUUGGUUUGGAUCCCGUGAAGGCUUCUUCCGGGGUCAUGUUCUUUAGAGCACGAUGAGGACAUCUAUUCUGGAUAUAUACUGUUGUUCUAGAAGCCUCGGCCCAUAGAAAAUUCUGCAAGUCUUGAUUGUGGAUCAUAGCCUUUGCAGCCUCCACAAUGGUCCUAUUCUUUCUUUCAGCAACACCAUUUUGUUGAAGAUUGUAUGGAACACAAAACUCCCUCUUAAUUCCUAACUCAACACAAAAAUCAUGAAAGCUACCGGAGGUGUUUUCACCUCCAUUGUCAGACCUUAAACAUUUGAUUCUUUUACCAGAGAAGUUUUCAGUUAAUGCUAUAAACUCCUUAAAUUUACUUAAGACUUCAUCAGAUUCUUUAGAUUUCAAGAAGUAGAUCCAAGUUUUCCUAGAGAAAUCAUCUAUGAAGAUUACAUAAUAAAGGAAUCCACUAGGAGAUGCUAUAGACAUAGGACCACAUAAAUCAGAGUGAACAAGUUCUAGUUUGUCUUUAGCUCUAUUUUCACUUUUAUGAAAUGGACUUUUAACAUUCUUACCAAUAGCACAACCUUUACAAGUGAUAUCAUGAAUUUGACUGAGUUCAGGCAUACCUUUAACUAACCUUUCAAGGGAUGGAAGGGCUUGAUAAUGUAGAUGUCCAAGUCUUCUAUGCCAUAACUCACAGGAUUCCGGAGCCUCAUUAAUGAGGGCUUGAAUAGGGUUAGUAGAGAGCUUAUAAAGACUAUCAUAUCUAUGGCCAAUUAUACGAGCAGAUUUAAAAUUAUCUUUCUUAGACCAAGCUAGAACUUUUCCCUCAGAAAAUGCAAUUUGAUAACCUUUAUCUUCUAGAGCAGAAAUGGAAAUUAGGUUUCUUUUAAUUCCAAGAACAAACAAUAUAUCACUGAGAUGCAAGGAAAUACCAGAAUCUAAUUUUAGAGAAGUAGAGCUAGAACCUCUUACGGAAUAACGAGCGUCAUCACCAAUUACCACGUGAAGGCUGGUAUCCUUUUCUACUAGGCCUGAAAGAUGAUCACAGUAACCUGUGAUGUGUCUGGAGGCACCACUGUCAAUCAACCAUGUUUUACUAUCUGAGGGAACACUGCUAGAUAGAGCGGAGAUGAAUAAGAAGUCAUCAUUUUGUUCUGAGACUUCAUUUAGGUUUGCUUCACUUUGGUUAGGGUUAAACUGACAUUCCUUAGCAUAGUGACCAAAUUUGUCACAUCUAAAACAUCGCACACGCGAAGUAUCUCUUGGUUUCUUCCAAGGGUGUUGGGGACUAAAUGAUCUGGAUUCCCUAUUUCUUUUAGGAUAAGGUUGCUUCCAAUUUCCCCUUUUCUUGCAUUGAGCUGCAAGCAUAUGAUGAUCAUUUACAUGGGGGCUCCUGGAUUAACUCCUUGUGAUGAGGCGAAACUCUUCUUGGAUGCAAUCAUUCUUAAGGCGAUCAAGAGAAGGUAACUCAGACCGGCCACUUAUGGUUUGGAUAAAUGACUCCCAUGAGUGAGGUAGACCAUUAAGGGCAAUCAUGACAAGGUUUUUGUCUUCCAUGUUAUGGCCAAUUAAACCUAGCUAAUUCUUUAGUUCUGAAAUUUUCAUGAAGUAGGAAAUAACAGAAUCUUCUUUAGCCAUUUUGAUAUUAAAUAGUUGUUGUCUUAACGUAAUUGCCCUACUAAGAUUAUUAACUUCACAUGUACCUUGUAGAUGACUGAACAUUUCCCUUGCAGUGGUGAAUGAGGCAAUAGAGGUGACGAGGUGGUCUUUGACUGAUUCAAUGAGAAUCUUCUUGGCCUUGACAGCAUCCUUUUUGAAUUGUUUCAACUUAGCUGCAUCCGAAGGCUCAAUUAGCUCUUUCGCUUCUAUGAAUUGGAGAAGAUCUUCUUCCUCAAGAGCCAACUUGAUUCGAACUUUCCAUGCAGUAAAAUUUAGAUUCCCAUCAAACCUAUCUUCAACUUUCAGCCCCAUUGACCUAAUUUGCAAAAGCUACAACAAUCUGAAAAUAAAGGUGUACUGAAUUUUAAAUCUGAAGAUUGAUCUAACCAAUUAGCUCUGAUACCAUGUUAUUUUUAGUACUUUCAGAUUGAAUAAAACUCAAAAAAUCAAAAUUAGUUUAGACUAGGUUAAUUAAUUUAUUGUUUUCCAGACUUAAGCAUAAUAAAGGAAAUGAAAUGCACAAGGACAAAGCACAGUUUCCCUGGGAAAACCUCCUAGGAGGAAAAACCCAACCAAAGGAUCCUCAGAUCUGAUUAUGAUUUUGAAUUCAACUGAACAUUAUACACUUAUCUGGAGUAUAGAGGUUGCAGUCACAAGGAAGAAGAGAGAGAAGCCUUCACAAUUAGUUUGCUAAUGAAGAUUAUGAUUUGCAGUCCUCCUCAUCAGAUUUUUCUAUGCGUAGCAAGGGUAGCAGCACCUUUCAAGUAGCUCACAGUCCUUCAAUGGAGUUCUCUAUAUUUUGGAGAUGGUCUGUUGCCUUUUAUGAAGUUCGCUGUCUUCAAUUAGAGAUCUGCUGCUAUCUAAUGAAGUUCGUUGUUUCCUAUUAGAGAUCUGCUGCCAUCUGGUGAAGUUGGCUGUCUCCUAUUUAGAGAUCUGCUGCCAUCUGGUGAAGUUGGCUGUCUCCUAUUUAGAGAUCUGCUGCUAUCUAAUGAAGUUCGCUAUCUCCUAUCUUCCUUACUAUGACUUUCCCUUUAACCGAAUAUAUUUUGCAUUACAUGAAAAUUGAAUGAUGAUAAUGAGAAGUAUAUGAUACAUUUAUAGGAGUCAUAUUACUUCUUAAUUAUGUCGGCCUUCUUUGCAAUUGAACAUUUUAUUUAUUUUAAUUCCUUUUAAGUGAAUUGAAAUAGGGUCGGCCCUAUCAAGGAGGCGAGUUGGGUUUGGGUGAAGCAUGGAAGCCUUUUAGGUGAGCCGAGAGGUAUUGGGCCUGACCCCAUAUGAUGGAGGCGGAUUCCAAUGUUGCCCAAGGCAAUUGGAAUCCGCCAGCCCUAAUUACCAACAACAACCUUAAGAUUUAGUAUUGUGAGAGAGAGCAAAUUUAAAUUUCUCUUCAAUGUUGACAAAAGACUGAAAAGCUUGCACAAAACUUUUCAUAGCUACAUAUGCACUGCUCAUGAGAUUACAAAGAACCAAUCAAUUCUCCAACUUGAAAAGUAGUUAGAUCUUUACUUUUUUCAAUGGCUAUCACCAUUGGAUCAAAUUUAGAAGGAAGAGAUCUCAAAAAAUUUUCUACAAUUUCCUAUUCUAUUGUAGUUUCUCUUUGAGUCCUAAGAUAAUUCACAAUAUCUUGAAUCCUAGUAAUAAAUUCAUGAACGGACUCAAAUUCCUUCAUCCUCAAAUUUUUAAAUUCUCUUCGAAAAGUUUGAAGUUUUACCAAGAGUAUCCCAUGUGUCCUUUGAUUUUAUCAUACAUGCAAUUCAAGAGAAAAUUGAAACAUCCAAUGUAGAUUGAAUAGUGAAAAGAGCUUUGUUGUCCUUCUUUUUGUCUUCUUUCAACUCAAUUUUUUGUUGUGGUGUCCAUGCAUUCAAUGCAUUCUGAUCUACAAGAACUAGGUAUCCUCCUUCAACUAAUUCCUAGAGUUUUUCGGAUAAUAGUAGGAUUUUCAUUUUGAUACUCCGUAUCUGGUAAACAAUGAAAGUGUAAAUGGUAAAUCUUUGUUAUUAGCCAUCUAGAGAUAACCGUUUCUCUAACCUUGCUACCUGCACAAAUCAGAAAUCUUGCAACCUGCUCUAAUAUCAAAUGAAAGAUUAUAAUAAUUUAAAAUACAUUCACAAAAUACGUAUCAUCAACUAAGAAGAAGACCAAAUAUUAUUCAUAUGAAAAAUUUAAUCAAAAUUACAAUAACAGUGAUUACAUUUAUAAACUACUAGAACCUAUUAAACAAGAAUAAAAACUAAAAACUAAUAACAAUUUUCUACUGCCUAGAUAGCAGUUUCUAAAGAUAAAAACCAUUGCAUAGACAACAAUUUCUAAAAAUCAGAAACAAGAUUAAUGUUUAUCAUAGCAGUUGCCAAACUACUAUUUUUUAACAAAACAAAAACACAUUCUUAGUAGUUUUCAUCACAGCCUUGAUCUCCAACAUAGCAAUCUCCAGCGCAUCAUUCUAAUCUUGAACAUAUCGAACUUAUCUUCACUAAAGUCUUAAAACCUCGUGAGAUUACACUUAAAUGUAAUCUAAGCUGAUUUUAUAUGAUGCUUGGGCAUUACACGUAAAUUUUCUGUUCAUAAAGCCAUUUUUUCUAAAGAAUUAUAGUGGAAACCGGCACCACAAUCAUCCCCGUCUUUUAUCAUUCCCAGCCUUCUGAUUCUAUGAAGACCCUCUGAAUGAUAAAAAAAAUUAUAGCAAAUAAAUUUUUAUUCAAGCUGCACAGAUAUUUUUUGGUCAACGCACAAUAAUGGUCUGUAUUAUUUCCAAAUGAACUAUUACACAACAGUUUUUACAGUUUUCUCAAACAGCACAGAGACAAAUUAUUGGAGUCUGCAGCUGCUUAAAAGCAACAGAGAGCUGCAUUUAGAAACAGAAAAAUUAACAAUAAUUUUUAUUUUUUACAUGCAGCUCAUGUAAACAUGCAGUCUAAAACUAAUUUAAAUGCAAAUUAUAUUUAAAAUUAGAUGUCUAAACUAAAACCUGCACAUGACAGUGAAGGUGAAAUGCAUCACUUAUCAGCAUGCUCUCCUUUGAUGUUAAGAGGGUUCACAAUAUAAUCUCUAAGUGUCAAAGAUUGAAUUUCAGUUGUCUUGCUGAUAUUAGCAAGUUUGUUUUGACCAUUGAUGUAUUUAAAUUCAAAAUCUAUUAUUUAAAUCUCAAAUGAAGUGAUAUUUCAAAUCAAAAGUAAUUAGAUUGUAUUUUGGAUCAAAUUGAUUGCAUAAUAUUAUCAUAAUAAAAAAUAUUGUAGAUUGAAUUUUUUUUUAGCCAUAAUUUUUUUUUGAGCCAUAAUUUUUACAUACCUGUAGAAGUAAUUGCAAUGUACCCUGCUUUGGUGGAUGGAAGGGCAUCUGUACUUUCCUUCUUUGAAUUCCAUGUAACCAAAUGGAAAUCAAUAGAAAGAUAAUUAUCAAUGUGGACUUUCGGAUAUUCAAACUACCUCCCCUAUUAGAAUAAUAGAGGUAAAAAGAAAUUCACGAGUGUAAUAAUUAAUACCAAAGUUUAAAGUCCCAUUCACAUAUCUCUAUAUUCUCUUCGCUUCCUUUUUCUAUUUCAAAUGGUUAUGUCAUAUACUUUGAAAAAAGAGAAACUAAAGAAGCAAUAUUAAGUUUUGUGACAAUACUUUUAUAAGCUGCUUCAUCAAUGGAGUGGAGGUUGAUUUACAAUCAACCAUACCAAUUUUUUCCAACAUAUGUUUUGCAUUCUUUGCAUAAUUAUAAUACCAUCCAGUCUGUGUAUAAAUGCUGUACAUGUGUGUGAAUGGUAAUAUAAACCUUGCUAGCUUUAUCGGCUAAUCGCACAUGUUAACUUGAAUAAUUGUUCUUGGAUAUCUAAAUGUAGUCAUAAUUAAAUUAUACACGAUUUGGUCGAGCCAUUGUAGUCAUUUCCUCCAAUGCUGCAGAAGUAGUAAGUUUCUUAUUGGUUUAAAUUUUCUAUAAAAGAUUUUACCCAGGCAUGCUGUAUCUGUUUAUUUGCAUAUUAUGUACAGCUCAAAAUAAAUAGGAAGCAGUAAUUGUUGGAAUAAACAAAUAAUUUCUUCCCUGUUUGUAUGCCGAAGACUGUCGUAGUCACUCACAGAUGAAGACAAUCUUAUCCCCUGUAGCUGCAAUCUGAUUUGUCAUUAUCCUCAGUGUCUGCACUCUGCGGUAGGAAAAGGGUAUGCUCUGUUUUGUCUUCUAUCUCCGACCUUGCAUAAAAUCUGAUUUAUGCUUAUCCUGAAUUGCUGUGCAGAAAAUCUGAUUUUUGUUUAUCUCAAUUUGCCUUGUAUUGCAAGUUUUCAUAACCGCCUCUGUUCACUGUCUAUAUGGCAUCCUAUAAAUAUAUUUUGGGUGCAACUGUGUGAUGUAACUUUGAAGAACAAGAUACAGACCUUUGAACUCUGUAGAUUUCCUUAUUUGUACUCUUAUUAUUCAUAAUAGAAAAUCUGGUUUGUAUGCUGCAGCAUACUGUUAUUUACAUGAUGUGUUCAGUUUAGUUUGUAUGCUCUGUUUUGUUAUAUUCCACUAUUCUGUAUUACUGUGAUUUCCCUGUUUCCUACAGUAAUACAUGGCUUUGAGAUAAAAAAUGUCGAGGAGAAAAGAAGAUUUCUUACCUGGGGCUGGCAAACUCGAAGAGCUUUCUUACCUGGGGAUGAGAAAAUGAUGAGAGCAACUUUAGCAUCGCAGAGAAGUGAGAGCUCGCUGGCCUUCUUCAACAGUCCCAUUUUGCCUUGGAGAAAGUCAGCCAACGAUUUACAGGGUUUUGUAUCCUCUUUACCUGAAAAUUUCCCUUUGCCAUUUUAUUCUUUUUGCAAAAUGGAAAAAGAUCUCAAGAUACAAAAGCCCUGCAUCUCAAACCAUUAUAUAUGUUCUGUGUCACUAAUUUUUUUACUUCCUUUUUGUGAUGGUACUAAUUACUCUUAUUCUGUCUGAUCAGGGCCAUCAUUUACUUGGCUUUCAUGUAGGGCUGAAGCGGACUACUGUCUUAAAACCUCGCGAGAUUACACUUAAAUGUAAUUUAAGCUGAUUUUAUAAGAUGCUUGGGCAUUACUCGUAAAUUUUCAGUUCAUAAAGCCAUUUUUUCUAAGAUUUAUGGUGGAAACCGGCACCACACUUAUCACUGUCUUCUACUAUUCUCAGCCUUCUGAUUCUAUACAGGCAAAAUUAUAGCAAAUAGUUUUUUUAUUCAAGCUGCACAGAAUUUUUUUGCUCAACACACGAUAAUGGUUUGUAUUAUUUCCAAACGAACUGUUACACAACAGUUGCAGGUUUCUCAAAUAGCACAGAGACAAAUUAUUGGAGUCUGCAACUGCUUAAAAGCAAGAGAGAGCUGCAUUUAGAAACAGAAAAAAUUAACAAUGAUUUAUUUUUCUUACAUGCAGCUCAUGUAAACAUGCAAUCUAAAACUAAUUUAAAUGCAAAUUAUAUUUAAAAUUA